rnacentral:rRNA from 1 species
GACGAACGCUGGCGGCGUGCUUAACACAUGCAAGUCGAACGGAAAGGCCCUGCUUUUGUGGGGUGCUCGAGUGGCGAACGGGUGAGUAACACGUGAGUAACCUGCCCUUGACUUUGGGAUAACUUCAGGAAACUGGGGCUAAUACCGGAUAGGAGCUCCUGCUGCAUGGUGGGGGUUGGAAAGUUUCGGCGGUUGGGGAUGGACUCGCGGCUUAUCAGCUUGUUGGUGGGGUAGUGGCUUACCAAGGCUUUGACGGGUAGCCGGCCUGAGAGGGUGGCCGGCCACAUUGGGACUGAGAUACGGCCCAGACUCCUACGGGAGGCAGCAGUGGGGAAUAUUGCACAGUGGGCGGAAGCCUGAUGCGGCAACGCCGCGUGCGGGAUGACGGCCUUCGGGUUGUAAACCGCUUUCGCCUGUGACGAAGCGUGAGUGACGGUAAUGGGUAAAGAAGCACCGGCUAACUACGUG